rnacentral:rRNA from 1 species
GCAGAAGUAGGUCACAAUGGUAUGGCUGUUCGCCAUUGAAAGUGGUACGCGAGCUGGGUUCAGAACGUCGUUAGACAGUUCGGUCCCUAUCUGCCGUGGGCGUUAGAGAUUUGAGAAGAGUUGCUCCUAUUACGAGAGGACCGGAGUGAACGAACCACUGGCGUUCCGGUUGUUUCGCCAGAAUCAUUGCCGGGUAGCUACGUUUGGACGGGAUAAACGCUGAAAGCAUCUAAGCGU